rnacentral:rRNA from 1 species
AAGGAGGGUUAGAUUCCCUCCCGCUGUAAGACCAAGGUUUCCCGGGCAAUGCCAAUCAGCCCGGGGUCAGUCGGGUCCUAAGUCUAAGCCGAACGGCGAUGGCGAUGGCAGAGACGGUUAAUAUUCCGUCACUGCCGCAUGGGGCGACGUGGAGACGGAGCAGUGAAACCACCGCGGGGCGACGGAAGUCCCCGUUGAAGAGUGUAGGUGUUGAGGAUGGCAGGCAAAUCCACCGUCCGAGCUGAACUUGAUAGUAUGGAGUCUUCUUCGGAAGAAUCCAAUAGUGUGGGUAAUCAUACUCCCGAGAAAAUCCGCUAAGCUUAACCCAUGCGGCACCCGUACCGCAAACGGACACACGGGGUCGGGUAGAACAUACUGAGGCGUUGAGAGAUUCAUGGUUAAGGAACUAGGCAAAUUGACCCUGUAACUUCGGGAUAAAGGGUCCUCGUGAAUAGCGAGGCGCAGAGAAUAGGUCCAGGCAACUGUUUAACAAAAACACAGGGCUGUGCAAACUCGAAAGAUGACGUAUACAGCCUGACACCUGCCCGGUGCCGGAAGGUUAAGAGGAGAUGUCACUAGCAAUAGGAAGCAUUGAAUUGAAGCCCCGGUAAACGGCGGCCGUAACAAUAACGGUCCUAAGGUAGCGAAAUUCCUUGUCGGGUAAGUUCCGACCUGCACGAAUGGUGUAAUGAUCCGGACGCUGUCUCAACCAUGAGCUCAGUGAAAUUGUAGUAUCGGUGAAGAUGCCGAUUACCCGCGAUGGGACGAAAAGACCCCGUGAACCUUUACUACAGCUUAGCAUUGACCUUGGUCAUCCGAUGUGUAGGAUAGGCCGGAGGCUUCGAAGCGGGAGCGCCAGCUUUCGUGGAGCCAUCCUUGAAAUACGGCCCUUUGGCUGUCUGAGGUCUAACGCGUGAAACGCGGACACUGCUUGGUGGGUAGUUUGACUGGGGUGGUCGCCUCCAAAAGCGUAACGGAGGCUUCCAAAGGUGCCCUCGGGUCGAUUGGUAACCGACCUCAAAGAGUGCAAUGGCAUAAGGGCGCUUGACUGGGAGGCAGACAUGCCGAGCAGGCAGGAAACUGGGGCAUAGUGAUCCGGCGGAUGUGUAUGGAAACUCCGUCGCUCAAGGAUAAAAGGUACUCCGGGGAUAACAGGCUGAUCCCCCCCAAGAGCUCAUAUCGACGGGGUGGUUUGGCACCUCGAUAUCGGCUCGUCACAUCCUGGGGCUGGAGAAGGUCCCAAGGGUUGGGCUGUUCGCCCAUUAAAGUGGCACGCGAGCUGGGUUCAGAACGUCGUGAGACAGUUCGGUCUCUAUCUAUCGUGGGCGUGGGAGUUUUGAGUGGUGCCGUCACUAGUACGAGAGGACCGUGAUGGACAGACCUCCGGUUUACCAGUUGUGCCGCCAGGCGCACCGCUGGGUAUCUGAGUCUGGAUUGGAUAAGCGCUGAAAGCAUCUAAGUGCGAAGCCAGCCGCAAGAUGAGAACUCCAUUGAGGGUCGUCAGAGACGAUGACGUUGAUAGGAUGCAGGUGUAAAGACAGCGAUGUCAAAGCCGAGCAUUACUAAUUGCCC